AUAUGACAGCACUGAUUUCAAACAAAUAACUGACGGUUUUUGCCUCUACACAGAUGAAAUUUCAGACCUCUUACGGAUCUUUACAAAAGUAAACAAUCGCCAAUGGUUUUUUUGGCUGUAUUGAAUAUAUGUUCAUGGGCAUUACAGAAUCAAAAACUGGUCAAACAUACUUGGAAUAUUUUCGAUGCAGCAAAGACGGAACUAUACCUGCAUUUGAUGAGCUUUUUGUGUGUUUUACUGAACAUAUGGAAGGUAGAAGUGAUGAAGAUAUCAUCAUUUUCGUGAGAGAAAAAGGCUUAGAUUUUCAAAAAGAUGCUUGUUCGCGAGCAGAAAAAACAUUUCAAACAGCAAAUUAUGAAUGUGUUUGAAAGUUUUGGAAUUCUGAAAGAGAAAUUAGUUAGAGUGAAACGUUAGAACAAUUUAUAGAAAAAAAACUACUUCGUGUAUUCUUAAAAUUUAUUAUUUAGGAAAAUAUUCUAGUAAAACAUUUUUAUUUGCCUUUACUUUUAUUUUCGUUUAAAUUUGGAAAUGGACAUUCGUUUUUGUUGGAUUAAAUACGUAAUAUUUUAAGACAAGGAAAAGACAUUGAUGUUUUUUUUUUAUUUACCUUUAUUUCGAAAUGCAUAUAUUUCGAAAUGUAUUGCUUUAAGCAAAAAAACUCUAACAAGUCCCAAUGAUGUCGGAUUCUUUUUGCAAAACUGGUACGAUUUCUAAGUUGACAAACCAAUAUUGAAAAAAGUGUAACAGAAAUUUCGAACUUCAAGUUGAAUAAAAAAGGGGAAGUCCAUAAAAACGGACAAAAUCAAACGUUAUAAACAGCAGGAGAAGUGAAAAAAAACUAACUGUCAUAUAUUCUUGACUUGUCACAAUCAUUUUUCGAAGAAGAUUGUAGGUCUAAGCUGGUUUUAUCAGACACAACUGACUAAAAAAUUCAAACAACAUACAAAAAAAUCUAACAUAGACGUCAACAAAAAACUUGUUAUUGAUAUUCAAUCUUACAAGGAAACCACGUACAUGUAUGUUGACAACUCUAGAGAUCAAUUAAAAAAUGAACUUUUCCCUGCAGCAGACAACCCUCCAUUUUUAACAAUCCUAUUGCAAGCCGUUGUGGAAUUAAUUCCUUAUUUAUUAAUAUUAAAAAAUAAUUUAUUAAUAUUAAAAAAUCAUUUAUCAAUACUAAAAAAUCAUUUAUUAAAAUUAAAAAAUUAUUUAUUAGGUAUUACAAAAUCAUUUUUUGAUAUUUAUAAAUCGAAUUUCUAAAAAAUAUCACGGUGCAUUGCCCCUAUCAGAGCUUUGAACAGAUAUAUUCAUAUCAAUAUCAAAGUUCAGGGAAAAAAUCAAAACAUAAGUGUCAUAUUCAUGUUUACCACUGACUAAAUUCCCGAUCGAUUUCUUUUACUUGGGCCGAUAUAAGCGAUUUGUAUGCAUCUUUUUAUUAAUCAAAUAAGACAUAGAAUUUCCAUCCUUCCAAUUUCAACAUUAAAAUUUUUGUAAUACGAUUUCCCUAACCUGGAGUCAGGACUAUAUGCAAACAUACAAAAAUCAAACAUAUGAGUCAUCACAAAACUAUCUCAGUGCUAGCCUAUUACAUACAUUUGUAGUUGCCCAUUUAAUAUAAUUUACUUUCUUUUAUUAACUGUGUUCCCAUGCUUCAACGAACUCAUAUGAAGAUUUGGUUAUUAUUACAAUUAGAAAAGAUGAUUUUUUUAAUGUCACUUGAAGGUGUGAAUAUGUUGAGACAAUAAUAGGUCAUGAUUUAUGAACAUUUGAAACCCUCGGCUACACCUCGGGCUUUACAUAUUCAUAAAAGAUUACCAGAGACAUAUAUACACAUGUGUAUAUAUGUCUUUGAGAUUACCAAGUAUUGCUUCACAAAUAGCGAUCAUUGAAAUAACAAUCCGAGGAAAAACACAUUUCGCAUAUAUUAGACCUGUAUAAAACCACUUCCAAGUAAUACAAUUUGAUUGUAAGAUAUAUCCGGAUUUUUGUGACAGAUUUGACAGAAAAAGAAGUAUUUUUGAAAACUGAAAUUAAAUGCAUGCAGAAUGAAAUAAAAACACGGGAUGUUAAUAAUAUAUUUUUUAUUAUCAUUGUAUUUUGCUUGUGUUCUCUUUGUUCGCCUCCUCUAAAUUCCUGCACCCUGUGGUUAUUUUUUUUACGGAACAGAAGAACAUCUUCUCCAACAAAGUUAUGAGGAGGACAAAUUAAAAAUGACACUCCGUAAAUUUUACGGACACCAUCACGAAUUGGUCGAUCCAUACGAUGUGUCUUUGUCCAAACUAAUUAAGGAAAUUUUGUUGACAUGUUAGAUUGUGGUUUGACAUUUCGUCGUCUGAUCUUUUAAUUACCGAACGUGACUUAUUCCCGAUUGUAACUGUUUUGCUGAGUGUGAAUUCGCAUUGCUAUAAGACGUGUCACGGUACUUUUCCAACCAAAAUGCAUGUAUUUAGUUUUGAUGUUAUAUUUGUUAUUCUCAUCGGACUUUGUCAAAUAUCUUAUCAUUUGUAGUUGUGAAUCUUAUUUUUUUUUUCUGUUGUAUUCGUGUGUUAUGGUAAAGAUAAUUAAUUACCCAGUUCAUUAAUUAGAUUUUAGUUGGGGUCAACUAAAUUUAUACGAUAUAUUUGGUUUACAGUUGAUUUAGAAGAAACACCGACAUAGCUAUAUAAUACUAUUAAUUAUCUAAUUACUACCACAUUUUAUAUUAAUUAGUAUUGUAAUUUUCAUUGUUAUUAAUAAAAAUGUUAUAUGAGUAUUUUAAACCAAAUCUUGAAUUCUAUCCUAAUUCUGUCCUAUUUUGGGGAUAUUUCAGAAAUUCAAACGUGACGUCACCUUUUUUGUUUGCGUUGAUCUCUUUGGCUUACUCGGCUGUGAAUUUUUAUGUGCUGGUUUAUGUUGUUUUAUGUAUCCGUUUUUAUUCUGUAGUUAGUCACCACUUCGGUGUUAUCAUGUAUAUCUAUUAUAUAGUCAUUUGUAUAAAUUUACUGUUUGCAAAAGUAUGAAUUAUUCUAAAUACUAAGGAUUUUCUUAUCCCAGACAUAUAACCUUAGCCGUAUUUGGCACAAUUUUUUGGAACUUUUGGUCCUCAAUGCUCUUUAACUUUGUACUUGUUUUGGCUUUCGAACUUUUUUUAUCUGAGCGUCACUGGUUACUCUUGUGUGGACGAAACGCGCGACUUAAAUUUUAAACCUGGAACCUUUUGUUAGCUAUUAUUCGUAUGUUUCUCUGUCCUAUAUGUUCUCCCAUUUAUUUGUAUUGUAGUCCUGUCAUGUAAUGUUGUCAUUUUAAUGUUAUAUUUAACAUUGCCAUAGAAGCGGGAGGUUUGGCUAGCCACAAAACCAGGUUCAACCCACCAUUUUUUUUAAAUGUCCUGUUCCAAGUCAGGAAAAUGGCCAUUGUUAUAUUAUAGUUCGUUUCUUUGUGUGUUACAUUUUAAUGUUGUGUUUCUGUUGUGUCGUAGUUCUCCUCUUAUAUUUGAUGUGCUUUCCUCAGUUUUAGUUUGUAACCCGGAUUUGUUUUUUUCUCAAUCGAUUUAUGAAUUUCGAACAGCGGUAUACUACUGUUGCUUUUAUUUGAGUGUACAUUGCAUCUAUAAUUGCUGCUACAAAGAACUUAAUCAACAUUUCAAUUUCACAAUAUCAAACUGUGCUAAAAUGCAGAAUUAUUUUUUUCAAAGUUUUUCAUUCAACCGCCUCUAUUUAUAUAUUUGUACGCGUGAAGUGUCAAAUAAUAUUUUGUCGUGAUGAUAUCAUUUUAUGUCGUAUGAUUUAUAUUUUUUAUUGUGGUUAUCUACAUAUAAUUAAGCUUAUAUCGUUUGCUAUUUUUCAUAUCUAUACAUGUCGAUAAAAUAUUCUUUUGUAUAUACAUGUUUAUUGUUUUUCACCCUGUGUUGUUUUCACUUGUAAUUAUUUUAUUUGUAUAUUAUAAUAAAAUGCCUCGAUAACCA